AAGACAUAAAGUCAAUUAUCACCCUCCGAUUGCUUAUUGCAACCGCCCACACUUCAGUGGCGGUUU
rnacentral:ncRNA from 19 species